AUUUACGUUACCACAUGGAGUUUACAUCCGGAUAAAUGUUGAAGGUUGCAGAGAAAAUAAGGUUGUCAAGAAAUAUACCGCAAAAAUGGGUCUUAUGCGGGGCCGUGCCCCCAUCAGAAGGACGAUGGAAUACUUAAAGCAAGGGAAACUUUUUCUCAAACCAAAUUUAAAAAUUAUGUUGUCAAAUGUAAUUCCCAACCACCCUGCUAGCUCUGGUCUACAAGAAUUUAUAUUUUGGCAUCUUCCACAACUGCAGUACAAAAACCAAGAAGUCCAGUUCCUUACAUUUCGAUGUAUAUCACCAACACCAUACAUUCAAUUUAUCAACAUGCACGGAGAAUCAAUUGCCAUGGACUGCUACGGACAGAAUAAAGAAGACGUCUACGAGAAGUUUUUCAAAACAUUUUGUUACACAGACUUGGACUUAAUAACAAAGAUUAGAGACCAGCAAAUGUAUGGUUCCGAUCUGAAAAACAAUCGACCUGAAAAUUUUGGGCCGAAAUUCCGCCGGAACUGUAUUUGUCUUGUUGACGGACAAGUGCCUUGUCCGGCAUUUGAGACAUUGCCCAAAGAGCUGCGUGGAAAAUAUACUCCUUUAAAUACCAGGAAUAAGUGGCGUAAAAUUGAGGAAGCAUUGUUACAGAAAGGCCAGGAGACUGAAGUUUGAAAUGAUGUCUGACAGAUCAAAAGACGCUUAAUGUUGCAAUCAAGAGCUAAGAUUUACUGGCUCUUGGUUGUUAUAGAUUUCAUUGUCAGGGGAGAUUAGUGGACUCUCUCUGUUUACAAGAUAUACCAGGUGCAAGAUAUUGCGAUGUAAAAGACAUUUCCAAUUUUUAACAGUUUUCUUUAUUUUCUGCACUAACAGUGUACAGUAACUGUAUAUACCUGACUCAUGAAAUGUUAGAACAUGUAAUUAAUUGUUUUCAUUGAUUUAAAAGUUUUAUACAUCAUC
rnacentral:misc_RNA from 1 species